rnacentral:rRNA from 1 species
CCUACGGGACGCAGCAGUGGGGGAUAUUGCACAAUGGAGGAAACUCUGAUGCAGCGACGCCGCGUGAGGGAAGACGGUCUUCGGAUUGUAAACCUCUGUCUUUGGGGAAGAAAAUGACGGUACCCAAAGAGGAAGCUCCGGCUAACUACGUGCCAGCAGCCGCGGUAAUACGUAGGGAGCGAGCGUUGUCCGGAAUUACUGGGUGUAAAGGGCGCGUAGGCGGGAACUUAAGUUAGAUGUGAAAACUCCGGGCUCAACCUGGAGACUGCAUUUAAAACUGGGUUUCUUGAGGGCAGGAGAGGAAA